CUAGUACUCACUCCGUCCGGAAAUACUUGUCGAAGAAAUGGAUAAGGGUAAAAAAUGGAUGUAUCUAGAACUAAAAUGCGUCUAGAUACAUCCAUUUCUCCGACAAGUAUUUCCGGACGGAGGGAGUAUAUG
rfam:Triticum aestivum genome assembly, contig: Triticum_aestivum_CS42_TGACv1_scaffold_406465_5BL